rnacentral:RNase_P_RNA from 1 species
CGAGCCGGGCGGACGGCCGCGUGGGGAUCCCCGGAUCCCCCCGAGGAACGUCCGGGCUCCACAGGGCAGGGUGGUGGCUAACGGCCACCCGGGGUGACCCGCGGGACAGUGCCACAGAGAACAGACCGCCGGGACCGUAUCCGUACGGACCCCGGUAAGGGUGAAACGGUGGUGUAAGAGACCACCAGCGCCUGAGGUGACUCAGGCGGCUAGGUAAACCCCACCCGGAGCAAGGUCAAGAGGGAACACCCCGGUGUUCCUGCGCGGACGUUCGAGGGCUGCUCGCCCGAGUCCGCGGGUAGACCGCACGAGGCCGGUGGCAACACCGGUCCUAGAUGGAUGGCCGUCGCCCCGCAGGCCGCGAGGCCCGCGGGGAAACAGAACCCGGCGUACGGCCCGGCUCGUCUG